rnacentral:tRNA from 1 species
GGGGAGAUCAUCCAGCUUGGUCUAAGAUUUACCCUUGGGGUGGGUAACACGUGGGUUCAAAUCCCACUCUCCCCA